rnacentral:rRNA from 1 species
UACAGAGGGUGCGAGCGUUAAUCGGAAUUACUGGGCGUAAAGCGUGCGUAGGUGGUUGUUUAAGUCUGCCGUGAAAGCCCUGGGCUCAACCUGGGAAUUGCAGUGGAUACUGGGCGACUAGAGUGUGGUAGAGGAUAGUGGAAUUUCCGGUGUAGCAGUGAAAUGCGUAGAGAUCGGAAGGAACAUCUGUGGCGAAGGCGACUAUCUGGGCCAACACUGACACUGAGGCACGAAAGCGUGGGGAGCAAACAGG